GUGUGUGUGUGUGUGUGUGUGUGGACGCGUGUGUGUUUAUUUGCUGCUCCACCUCAGGCAGCAAAAUGUCUUGGGUCACUCUUAAUCAACCAAUUAUUUUCAUGACUGUUUUGUUGACAGGACGUCAUGAGGGUUGCAGUCCUAAAGGUCCAUAAAACAUGGCACAUUUAUAGUCCUCUUUAAUUUUGUGGAGGGGCAGUGGGGGCCUCACAUAUGGAGGUGGCAACAUCAACAUUGUCAAAUAAUUUUUCUUCAGCUGAAGAAAAAUGACAUUGACACAUAUCCAUUAAGAAGAAAGGGGGGCCAUUCAAUGAGCAAUUGGUUUUUUUGAGACUUAAAAGGUCCUGCCUGAGAUCAAGGGAAGGGCUGUAGUUUAGGUAUGGCUAGGAAAUUACUGCCUGAAAAUCCGGAGAGCUGCUGCCAGUCAGUGUAGACAAUACUAAGUUAAAUGGAUAGUAGGGGUGAUUCAAUAUAAGGCAGCUUCCUGUAUUCCUACAUACAGAACAGCUUCCAAAUUAACAAAGCCCGCACAAUUCAGACUUUGGCCACUUAUCUGCAAUAAUAGAACUAUGCAUUUUAACCCAAAUUCCAUUUCAAUUGAAAUUUGAUAGGAACCCUUAAAAAAGGAUAAUUCUGGCCACAUAUACAAAAGACAAUGGCAGGUAGAUUUAGGGGAAUCCUGAUCACUAGUGCACCAUCUGUAUAUGGCCAUCAUCACACAAGAAACCCAGACCACUAUGACUCUCUUUCUCAUAAAGUUGUAUUAAAUAUGCCCAUGUCUUUCUUGGUGACCCUUUCUUUGUAGCAGCUUUCAAAGAGGUGGCCAUGUUAGUCUGUUGUAGAAAAAAACAGUGGCAACUUCACCAGAUACAGUGGUACCUCUGGUUACAUACUUAAUUCAUUCUGGAGGUCUGUUCUUAACCUGAAACUGUUCUUAACCUGAAGCACCACUUUAGCUAAUGGGGGCCUCCUGCUGCUGCCGCGCCACUGCUGCACGAUUUCUGUUCUCAUCCUGAAGCAAAGUUCUUAAACCAAGGUAUUAUUUCUGGGUUAGUGGAGUCUGUAACCUGAAGCAUAUGUAACCUGAAGCGUAUUUAACCCAAGGUACCACUGUAUGUGAAGCCUUACUUCUCAUUGGUGGCUGGGAGAUGGAAGGCAGAAUGGGGCCAAAUAGCUAUGAAAUACAAAAAGUAGAGCGACAAUCCUAUAGCAAAUGGAUCAUUCACAGCAGUGUUAAUUGGUGGUGCUAACAUACUCACCUCAGCUUUGCUCUGUUAGCUGUAUGCAGGACAGAGAACCAUUCAAAUGAAAUAGAGAGAGAGCUAAAAAAAAAAUUGAUUUGCAGUCUUUCGAUAUGCCUGGUCAAUCAUUUUGUUUCAACCUGUGUGGAAUAUUUAAGAAUGGCUGCAAUCUAUUUCUUACAUAUGCUUUAGCAUCCAAAGCAGCAGAGAAUAUAGGGAAGUAGGAAAUGGAUGCUACCAUUUUAGAAUCUUGUAAAAAGCAAUUCAAGGGAGCGGGUUGUAAAAGAUUGAGUUGAUAACAUCCGUUUCUCCUAAGAAAUUUGCAUAAAAUAGCAAAAAUGUUAAAUCACUUUCAAGAUUAACAUCUCAGCAUAUGAGGUCAUAUGAACUUCAGGGACUGGUGUUUCUGUCUUAUUUAACAGCCCCAUGAAUGUGACAGAAGUAUAUUAAUAAAAUUUGCAGAGGAUCCUAGCCUGGAAAAGUGUGAUGAUAAUGGGGAAAUCAAGAACUUCUCUGUUUGGAGACAAAUUAGAAGUGUGUGCAGGAAAUGACAAACCUUUUAUUAUGUCUCGUAAUGCAUGCGUUUCAUUAGAAUGGGAUUUGAAUUACUGUACUAAAAAAAAAGAUGUCUUUUUUCAUCAUGGAUUUGAAAAACUUUCAUGGGAAAAAGACUUUGUUAAGGGCAGAUUCAAACCUCAUUGAUUUCAUUGGAAAGGUUCCAACUUAGUUUUAGAAGAUGAUAUGCAGAGUGAUGAAUAACUAAGAUCAAAUCAUGAGUGAUAGAAUUUUGCUUUCAGCUUAAAAGCGCUGCCUCUCUGCCUGUUUUCAAGCCUCCUAAUUAUGAAGCCCUAAAGCAAUUAAUGGCGCUGUUAUUAUUAUCAUCAUUAUUAUAAGCUGCUUUUUAGCAUUUAUUGCAAUCAUGCGGUAUAUAAAUGUUUUGAAAUAAAUAAUAAUUACAGUUACUAUUUUCAUUUAUUAAAUCACCUUCAUCCUUAGGAUCCCCAGGCAGUUUCAAAAUAAUCAACCUACUACAUCACACUAAUCCAACAUUACAAACACCAUAAAUGCAGAAAUUUACAACCAGAAAAAUUUCAAUGUAAAAGCAGCUCCCAAACCCAUAGAGCCUUUUCUACUCCCUUCAGUAGAGGCUGCAGAGGCUCGUAGCCCCUGUCUGUACUGUUGUGUAACUUCCCCCUUAGUUGCAAUGAAUGAGGAAGUGGCUGUACACACACAGGGGCUUUCACGCGUGCAUCACCAGAUACGCUGGCCUCUAGAGUUCCAGAAUCAGGGCAAGAGGCAGUUCAGCCUCCAAGAGGAAGGGUUCUCACUAGGGCUUCCGCUGCUCAAGACUUACUCACCCUAACAGUUCCCUUCCCCAGUUUCAUGGUCCACUCUAAUUUUAUUGAUUUAUUUAUGGCAAACUCAUUUGCCGAGUGCCAGUGCCAGAUUAAACUGUGGAGGCCCCUAGGCAGUCAAAAUCUUUGUUGGGGGCAGCCCUCAUGCACAGUGGGAUAACACUGAACUAAGUAAGCCUGAUUCUAAUUUUUUUCAAGAUCAAAUCAAUAUUAUUUUGAUCCGUUGUGCCCAUUUGGUACUCAGCACUGCCAAGUGUGGAUCUUUAUAUAAUUUAACAACAACAACAUCCAUCCACACACAAAGGAGAUAUUUAGCGAAACACAAAACAGCAACAACAGGCAAAUGAGGACGGAGUAUGCUUAGUAGGCAUGGGAUGCUAACUGGCUGUUGGGGUGGAAAACUGGAGGGAAAUAGAAUGGUGUAUCCUGGACAAGGGCACAGCUGGCUGGCUGGAACCCUGAGCAGGAGCAGUUGCAGUUACUUACAGCUCCAACUAUUCCUCCCUGCUUCCCAUCAGUCACCAGUGUGCCCCGGUAGGUGUCUGCUGAAAACUUUUUUUUUUUUAACAGAAGCCUAUCCAGACAUGCAGAAGUUGGUGUGUGUUUUAAUCUGUGUGACCCUUUCUCCCUUCCAUUAUAGAUUAUUCUGCAUUUACACCAGAGUACCUUGUUCAUCAUACAUGGCACCAUCUUCAGCAAGCUGUUGCCACUCUGGCUCACUCUGACCAGUUCCUGUGCUUAAUUAAAGUUGGUUUGUUCAAUCAAGCAGCAUCAGCAAAAAAUACAUGCAAUUUGCAUAAUUUGUUCUGCUUAUGGUGAACUUACAUAAUUUGGCUUUCCAAAGUGCAGGCAUUUCUUCUUCCUUUCCCCUCUCUCAUUUUCACAGUAAGACAAGGUUUCUGUGAUUUUAUAUUGUAUGGUGUUCAAAAAAGGUAUUAAUAUGUAUUUAUUUUUUGUUUUUUUAAAAAGGAAAGCUGCUGGUGGUGGGGUAACCCCUUAAUGCAAGCAAUAGAACCACAUAUCAGAUACAUACUAUACGCAGGCACACAGUGGCAAGUUGGCUUCCAUACAAUUGAGAAUUCCUGUGCAAUGAAUCAUUCUUGCACUUAGCUGCUGCCCCUUCUCUUCUCUGUGGAACACUGGGCCAUAGACUAAGUUUGCCUGAGGCUUUGCCUUACCCCAUAAACACCCACUCGACCACUUCAAAAUGUGGAACUGCCAUUGGUGCCACAAAACAUUAGUUCCACACUGAUAAGAAAUCAUUCUUUUGGGAAUCCCUGCCUAUUGACAUCAGGUAGGUGUCUGCUGAAAACUUUUUCCCCCCCCAAUGGAGCCUAUCCAGACAUGCAGAAGUUGGCAUGUGUUUUAAUCUGCUUUCAGCUUAACUUGUUUUAAUUCUAUUUUGAUCUUCCCAUAUACCUGUUUUCUAGUUUUGAAUUUUAUUGACAAUUUUAAUAUUUGUCUUAUUUUUUGCAAACUACUCUGAGUUCCUGUUGACAACCAAGUAGCAUAUACAUUUGGGGCAGAUCUACACUCAUGGUUUUUUAAUGUUAAGGAAGGGUUAAGGGAUGGUUUUGAUAACGUAGAUGGGCACAUGGCGUCCUACUUUUUAUGUUUAUAAUGCCCUAUUACCUUGUCUUUUUUAUCACUUAAUUUUUAAUUGUUCUUUGCUGCUAUAUUGGUGAAACACUGCUCAUAUGUCCCUAUGUAGCGCUUUACCUUUUUUCUUUCUUUUUUUUACUGCAUUCAAACUCUGACCCGACCUGCCCCCAAUGGUAUUCAAGGGGCAGAUAACAAAGGACACAGAAGGAGGGAGUAAGAAUUAAAAUGUGACACCAUACAAAGUUAAAAACAUUUCAAUUAAUAAGUAUGCCUUGUGACAUUUUAAAACAACAUAUCUAAUAUUGCUCUAAUGGGGGAAAUAAUGUUAAAUGGGUCAGUGUAGAUCUAGCCUUUGUCAAAUAAAUAGAUACAAACAGUGCUCUUCCUCUCUGCCCUGAGAAAGGUGCUCAUUCUCAAAGAAGAUUUUAAUCCCUGUCCCCACUCUUUCAUCCAUGACUCUGGUUUGCCCUGUACCUUGUGAGCAUUCCUUUUUUUUAUAAGAUAUUUAUUAAAAUUUUCAAAGUGUUACAAAGUAAAAUAAAAGCAGAAUACAAAAUAAAAAUAGUUAACAAAGUAGGAAAAUAAAAACAAACAAACCCCUUCCAACCAUAUGAAUACAAAUUC